GAAUUCGCCCUUAGAGUUUGAUCCUGGCUCAGGACGAACGCUGGCGGCGCGCCUAACACAUGCAAGUCGAACGAGCGAGAGAGAGCUUGCUUUCUCAAGCGAGUGGCGAACGGGUGAGUAACGCGUGAGGAACCUGCCUCAAAGAGGGGGACAACAGUUGGAAACGACUGCUAAUACCGCAUAAGCCCACGGGUCGGCAUCGACCAGAGGGAAAAGGAGCAAUCCGCUUUGAGAUGGCCUCGCGUCUGAUUAGCUAGUUGGUGAGGUAACGGCCCACCAAGGCAACGAUCGGUAGCCGGACUGAGAGGUUGAACGGCCACAUUGGGACUGAGACACGGCCCAGACUCCUACGGGAGGCAGCAGUGGGGAAUAUUGCACAAUGGGGGAAACCCUGAUGCAGCGACGCCGCGUGGAGGAAGAAGGUCUUCGGAUUGUAAACUCCUGUUGUUGAGGAAGAUAAUGACGGUACUCAACAAGGAAGUGACGGCUAACUACGUGCCAGCAGCCGCGGUAAAACGUAGGUCACAAGCGUUGUCCGGAAUUACUGGGUGUAAAGGGAGCGCAGGCGGGAAGACAAGUUGGAAGUGAAAUCCAUGGGCUCAACCCAUGAACUGCUUUCAAAACUGUUUUUCUUGAGUAGUGCAGAGGUAGGCGGAAUUCCCGGUGUAGCGGUGGAAUGCGUAGAUAUCGGGAGGAACACCAGUGGCGAAGGCGGCCUACUGGGCACCAACUGACGCUGAGGCUCGAAAGUGUGGGUAGCAAACAGGAUUAGAUACCCUGGUAGUCCACACCGUAAACGAUGAUUACUAGGUGUUGGAGGAUUGACCCCUUCAGUGCCGCAGUUAACACAAUAAGUAAUCCACCUGGGGAGUACGACCGCAAGGUUGAAACUCAAAGGAAUUGACGGGGCCCGCACAAGCAGUGGAGUAUGUGGUUUAAUUCGACGCAACGCGAAGAACCUUACCAAGUCUUGACAUCCCUUGACGAACAUAGAAAUAUGUUUUCUCUUCGGAGCAAGGAGACAGGUGGUGCAUGGUUGUCGUCAGCUCGUGUCGUGAGAUGUUGGGUUAAGUCCCGCAACGAGCGCAACCCUUACUGUCAGUUACUACGCAAGAGGACUCUGGCAGGACUGCCGUUGACAAAACGGAGGAAGGUGGGGAUGACGUCAAAUCAUCAUGCCCUUUAUGACUUGGGCUACACACGUACUACAAUGGCGUUAAACAAAGAGAAGCAAGACCGCGAGGUGGAGCAAAACUCAGAAACAACGUCCCAGUUCGGACUGCAGGCUGCAACUCGCCUGCACGAAGUCGGAAUUGCUAGUAAUCGUGGAUCAGCAUGCCACGGUGAAUACGUUCCCGGGCCUUGCACACACCGCCCGUCA
rnacentral:rRNA from 1 species